rnacentral:rRNA from 1 species
GUAGUCCACGCCGUAAACGAUGAGUGCUAAGUGUUAGGGGGUUUCCGCCCCUUAGUGCUGCAGCUAACGCAUUAAGCACUCCGCCUGGGGAGUACGGUCGCAAGACUGAAACUCAAAGGAAUUGACGGGGGCCCGCACAGGCGGUGGAGCAUGUGGUUUAAUUCGAAGCAACGCGAAGAACCUUACCAGGUCUUGACAUCCUCUGACAACCCUAGAGAUAGGGCUUUCCCUUCGGGGACAGAGUGACAGGUGGUGCACGGUUGUCGUCAGCUCGUGUCGUGAGAUGUUGGGUUAAGUCCCGCAACGAGCGCAACCCUUGAUCUUAGUUGCCAGCAUUCAGUUGGGCACUCUAAGGUGACUGCCGGUGACAAACCGGAGGAAGGUGGGGAUGACGUCAAAUCAUCAUGCCCCUUAUGACCUGGGCUACACACGUGCUACAAUGGACAGAACAAAGGGCUGCGAGACCGCAAGGUUUAGCCAAUCCCACAAAUCUGUUCUCAGUUCGGAUCGCAGUCUGCAACUCGACUGCGUGAAGCUGGAAUCGCUAGUAAUCGCGGAUCAGCAUGCCGCGGUGAAUACGUUCCCGGGCCUUGUACACACCGCCCGUCACACCACGAGAGUUUGCAACACCCG